rnacentral:rRNA from 1 species
AUUUUGGACAAUGGGCGCAAGCCUGAUCCAGCCAUGCCGCGUGCGGGAAGAAGGCCUUCGGGUUGUAAACCGCUUUUGACAGGGAAGAAACGGCGCUGGUUAAUACCUGGCGCAACUGACGGUACCUGCAGAAUAAGCACCGGCUAACUACGUGCCAGCAGCCGCGGUAAUACGUAGGGUGCAAGCGUUAAUCGGAAUUACUGGGCGUAAAGCGUGCGCAGGCGGUUCGGAAAGAAAGGUGUGAAAUCCCAGGGCUUAACCUUGGAACUGCACUUUUAACUACCGGGCUAGAGUAUGUCAGAGGGGGGUAGAAUUCCACGUGUAGCAGUGAAAUGCGUAGAGAUGUGGAGGAAUACCGAUGGCGAAGGCAGCCCCCUGGGAUAAUACUGACGCUCAUGCACGAAAGCGUGGGGAGCAAACAGG